GAACCAGAGCUAAAUCUCCAGCCCUGGCUGUGACAUCUGUAACCCCACUGAUGGCCAAGGUUGAUUCGGCUGAUCCAGCUGGCUAGGCGGGUGUCCCCUUCCUUUCUCACCACUCCAUGUGUGUCCCUCCCAAAGCUGUGCUCUCAAUCAAAGAGGACAGGAUGACCACCUCCAAUAGAGGAGGACCAUUUCCUCCGGGGUCAAGGGUAUACUAGUAGCUGCGCUCCCUUGCUAGAACCUCCAAACAAGCUCUCAAGACAAUCUUCCUGAUUUCAAAAUCUGGCUAUGUCCUUAUGGAAUGUGAGUUUUAAUGA
ensembl:misc_RNA 7SK 7SK RNA